rnacentral:rRNA from 1 species
GGACUGAGAGGUUGAACGGCCACGUUGGGACUGAGACACGGCCCAGACUCCUACGGGAGGCAGCAGUGGGGAAUAUUGCACAAUGGGGGAAACCCUGAUGCAGCGACGCCGCGUGGAGGAAGAAGGUCUUCGGAUUGUAAACUCCUGUUGUUGAGGAAGAUAAUGACGGUACUCAACAAGGAAGUGACGGCUAACUACGUGCCAGCAGCCGCGGUAAAACGUACGUCACAAGCGUUGUCCGGAAUUACUGGGUGUAAAGGGAGCGCAGGCGGGAAGACGAGUUGGAAGUGAAAUCUAUGGGCUCAACCCAUAAACUGCUUUCAUAACUGUUUUUCUUGAGUAGUGCAGAGGUAGGCGGAAUUCCCGGUGUAGCGGUGGAAUGCGUAGAUAUCGGGAGGAACACCAGUGGCGAAGGCGGUCUACUGAGCACCAACUGACGCUGAGGCUCGAAAGUGUGGGUAGCAAACAGGAUUAGAUACCCUGGUAGUCCACACCGUAGACGAUGAUUACUAGGU